AGAAGAAAUAAGGGCAGAGGAGAAAAAAAAAACCCCAGCGAGGUUCAAUGGAAGACGAUGAAGCUAAGCAGCGAAGAGAACUUCAAGAAGGAGAUGAUUCUUAUGAACGAAGAGAAAACGAGUACCCAUCUCAUCAUCCUCCACCUCCUUCAGAUGAAUUGUUCGACAUUUCAACUACUGUUGAUCCUAGCUAUGUUAUUUCACUGAUAAGGAAGCUUCUUCCAGUUGAUUCGAGCAGUGAAGAGCGACGUAACAAUCAUAUGAAUGCUAAUAAUGUGGUUCAAGGUGUUGACACUUCCAAUGGUGGUCCAGAGAGCAUGGACAUUGGAGGUUACAAUAACGAAUCCACUUCUGAGGAGAAGGUCACGGUGGGUUCAGGUCGGGAGACGGGAAUGGUGAGCGGGUCAUCAGUGGAAGAAGCUUGGGAAGAUCAUGGUUGUGUUUUGUGGGAUCUUGCUGCUAGUAGAACUCAUGCUGAGCUAAUGGUACAGAACCUGAUUUUAGAAGUUCUUCAUGCAAAUCUUAUGGUUUCAGAAUCUGCCCGCAUUCGAGAAAUCUGUCUCGGGAUUAUUGGGAACCUUGCUUGCCAUGAAGGUUUGUUGCAACAUGUAGAGUCAACAGCAGGACUCGUCAAUAUACUUGUGGGGCAGUUGUUUCUUGAUGAUACCCAAUGCUUAAGUGAAGUUUGUAGGAUACUAACCACAGGUCUCUCUGGGACUGGGUGUACCUUCUGGGCUGAGUGUUUGCAGUCUGAUGAUAUACUUCGCCGUAUUUUUUGGAUUGCGGAAAAUACCUUGAAUCCACAUCUUACUGAGAAGAGUGUAGGGUUAUUGUUAGGUAUCAUAGAAGGUCAACCAGAGAUUGGGCAGCUAUUGAUCCCACCACUAAUGACAUUGGGUUUGACGAGUCUCUUGAUCAAUCUUCUUUCUUUUGAAAUGAGCAAGUUGACGAAAGAAAGAAUUCCAGAAAGGUACCCCAUCCUUGAAAUUAUUCUCCGAGCUAUUGAAGCCCUUUCUGCUUCAGAUAGCCAUUCUAAAGAGAUUUGCUCUAGCAAAGAACUAUUUCAGCUAGUCUGUGAUCUUAUGAAGCUUCAGGACAAAGCUGAGGUGGCAACAUCUUGUGUUACUGCUGGAGUUUUGAUCGCAAAUAUUGUAUCGGAAACAGUCGAUUUUGUUCCAGAAGUAUCGGAAGCAGAUUUCUCUUUCUUGGAAGGUUUAUUCAGUACUUUACCAUUUGCUUCGGAUGACUUAGAAGCAAGAAGAGCAAUUUGGAAUGUUAUUGCGAGGUUACUUGCCAGUGUUAAUGAGUCUGAGACAUUCUCUCCGAGUCAGUACAUAUUGGUUUUCUUAAGGAACUCGGAUAUUAUAGAAGAUGAUCUUCUCGAUACCCAACUAGAAGAUUCAAACGAGGAAUUCCAAAACACACUCCCUUCCCAGAUGAAGUCAAGUGCGCGAAUGAUUGCUAUACAGAAGAUUGAGUCGAUAUUAAACAUUUGGAUUACUCGCAAUGAGAAUCUGCAGGAGGAAAGCAUAACUGGGGACUGCUCUAUAAACAAAGAUGGUGUUAAAAGGCUAUUGGAUUGCUGUCAAAGAUAUAUCGGAUAAGCUAUUCUCCAUCUCUAGAAUCUGUGAAGGUUCUUAAUUCCUGGCGAAUCUUCCCAUGGUCACUCAAGGCAUAACGCAUUACACCAUCAAGCUUCAAGAUAUCACUAACUCAGGUGGACUUUUUGGUAGACAUAUACAGGUUAGAACUUGCCUGUCUUUCUCAUAUCCAUAUAGAUUACUUAGGAGACAGUCUGGUAAAUUGUACACAAGAAAGGCAUGUGCAACCAAAAAAAAUACUCAUAUUUUGAAAGCUAGAAGUCUAUCUUCCGACAUAAAUCUCGAUUAAGUUUUGAAAUCCAAAUGGGCAAUAAAAAUACAUAAACUGAAAAUUACAAUCUAAUUAAGCCAUAGUUGAAAAGCAACAAUGAUCUUGAAAAGAAUGUAGAGUAGAUGGAUAUGAUCAGGAGAUGAGAGAGAUGCCAGAGAGCAAGAGAUUGUCUGCGAGAAUCUUGUUAGCAGCUUCCGUUGGAUGAAACCCGUCCCAAAAGACAUACUCAGUCGCGUUGUUACAUGUUCCUAAUGAUUUAGGGUUACAUAGUAUUGAUGUCUCUAGUAAUCCUGUUCCACAACAAGCUCUUCUUGCCUCUGCAAAUC